GGAGUUGCCAGGGCUGCCUUUGGUGACAGCAGCAGUAGAGUUGCCAGAGCAGCCUGCGGUAACAGUA
ensembl:miRNA MIR6501 microRNA 6501